rnacentral:rRNA from 1 species
GAAAGUUACGCUAAUACCGCAUACGAUCUAAGGAUGAAAGCAGGGGAUCUUCGGACCUUGUGCUCCUGGAGCGGCCGAUAUCUGAUUAGCUAGUUGGUGAGGUAAAGGCUCACCAAGGCCACGAUCAGUAGCUGGUCUGAGAGGACGACCAGCCACACUGGAACUGAGACACGGUCCAGACUCCUACGGGAGGCAGCAGUGGGGAAUUUUGGACAAUGGGCGAAAGCCUGAUCCAGCAAUGCCGCGUGAGUGAAGAAGGCCUUCGGGUUGUAAAGCUCUUUUGUCAGGGAAGAAACGGUGAGGGCUAAUAUCCCUCGCUAAUGACGGUACCUGAAGAAUAAGCACCGGCUAACUACGUGCCAGCAGCCGCGGUAAUACGUAGGGUGCAAGCGUUAAUCGGAAUUACUGGGCGUAAAGCGUGCGCAGGCGGUUUUGUAAGUCUGACGUGAAAUCCCCGGGCUCAACCUGGGAAUUGCGUUGGAGACUGCAAGGCUAGAAUCUGGCAGAGGGGGGUAGAAUUCCACGUGUAGCAGUGAAAUGCGUAGAGAUGUGGAGGAACACCGAUGGCGAAGGCAGCCCCCUGGGUCAAGAUUGACGCUCAUGCACGAAAGCGUGGGGAGCAAACAGGAUUAGAUACCCUGGUAGUCCACGCCCUAAACGAUGUCUACUAGUUGUCGGGUUUUAAUUAACUUGGUAACGCAGCUAACGCGUGAAGUAGACCGCCUGGGGAGUACGGUCGCAAGAUUAAAACUCAAAGGAAUUGACGGGGACCCGCACAAGCGGUGGAUGAUGUGGAUUAAUUCGAUGCAACGCGAAAAACCUUACCUACCCUUGACAUG